CUGGCUUUUUAUUGAUUUUUAUCUAUUUUUGCUUCAUUUAUUCACUUUAAAAGUUCAGAAAUGUGCGCUGGAAUGUAAAAAAUGACUGCCAACAAGUAAUCAACCUAUUAAGUGGACACAGUUUGCCAGGAAAAACGCAAUCUUCUGUUUUUAUCAACCUUCGAAGAAUAAAGUUAGAAAAAGUUCC
rnacentral:lncRNA from 1 species